rnacentral:lncRNA from 1 species
GCCCAAGAGUGCUUUGUAACCCUGUGAGGACUGUUGGCUCCGAGGGCUCCUCUCAGUGUUUUCUGAACAGCCUCUCCCCAUUCCAUGGCCACAGUUCGACUCUUCCACGUUGUGUGAUAUACCAACAAAUAAACAUUCCUAGUUAUUUCUCUGUUCACUUACCGUGGUCAAGGACUGUUUGGAAACUCGACGCUUGCCUGACAUUGUAUACUCUACGGUGUUGUUUCUCAGCGCCUCAGACAACUGUUUUGAACCUUUUGCUCUGUAGAGCAUUAUGGAGCCUCUCGAGAAAACUGUUUGAGUCUCUUGACAUAGGUCAGUCUGACUUCCGCUUACCAAUCAGAUUCUGGGAUCCCAGGCCAUGCAACGUGCUAGGAGACAAGCGGC